UACGUAGGGGGCUAGCGUUGUCCGGAAUCAUUGGGCGUAAAGCGCACGUAGGCGGCGCCGCAAGUGUUGGGUGAAAUCCCACGGCUUACCCGUGGAACUGCCUGGCAGACUGCGGUGCUAGAGGAUGGUAGGGGAGAGCGGAACUCCUGGUGGAGCGGUGAAAUGCGUAGAUAUCAGGAGGAACACCGGUGGCGAAGGCGGCUCUCUGGUCCAUGACUGACGCUGAGGUGCGAAAGCUAGGGGAGCAAACGGG
rnacentral:rRNA from 1 species